UAUUCAAACGUCUAAAUGUGUUCUUGUAUAGUUAUUUUAAAACAUUAAAUGCUUAAUAAGUGUUAUUUUAUUGUUUGUUAUUAGUGUUUUGGUGCAAAUUCAUCUAAUAGUUCGAAUAAAUUACCAUUGAAAUACCCUAUCAUAUUUGAUACAUGGAAAUGUUGGAUUACAGGGUGAAGAGGCUAGGAGCAUUCAUCAACAUAUCUAGAAUUCCUGAGGGGGAUUCUGGCAUACAAGAAAGGAAAACAGAUAAUUAAGAGUAGAUAUAUAGCAGAAUUUAUGGAAAAGCUUUUAAGUGACAAAUUAAACUGUGGCGACUACAAAUUCAACAUUUUCAGCAGCUAAAGAGAUGAUCCUUUAUUUAUUGUAGAGUGGGUCGAGGAACUAACGAGAAUGCAACGGAGGAUAGAGGACGAAUAAGGUAAAAAGAAAGAUUAUGGUGAAAAGAAAAUGAGUUGAGGUGGUACUGAGCACACUGUUUACUGUUAUCACUACUACAACAUGGCAUACAUGAAAUUGAUUGUAGGUGAAUUGCAAUUAUUAAAUAAUUUUAAAUGUUUCCCAUCUUCUUCACAGAAAUUUGUUCAAUUUUGAAUUGUUUUUUAUUGCAGAGCUGGUCGAGGGACUAACUUAUACAAUAUGGAGGAUAUAGGACCAACGAGGUAUCAAAAUUAACUUGGAUUCACAGGAUUUUCUUAAAAAUGAAGAUAAAGACCAGAGUGGAUACGAAACCACUACAAAAUGGCAUACAAAAGUGGUGGACUAGUCGAGGGACUAACUUGUGCAGUACAAAGAAUGAAGGACCAACAAGAUACUUCAGUUCCUUCCCUUUGGAAGAACCUAUAUGUAUUAUAGAUUUAUAUUAUAAAUAAAGAAUUUAUUACU